rnacentral:lncRNA from 1 species
GCACGCGUUUUAAAAAAAAUAAAAAAUAAAAAAUAAAUAAAAUAUAACAGAAAAAUCUUGGACUUGGACCUCUCUCAUUUGAUCCCACAAAAAUCAGGUUAUAAAUUCUAGACUUCCAUCUCCCAAAAAACCCUGGAAAAAGAUUGUGAGAGAAGAGCUAACAGAGUUCACAGCAGCCUCCAGAGACUGAAAGGAACUCAUCUGCAAAGAGCCAAUCCCAUCUCAUAUAAACCCUCAGAUUGCUUUGCAAACUCAACCGGGCAAUUCAAUUCAUUCGA